GGAGGGUCUGGUGGGGCCUGGAAAAAAAUUAAGAAGAGUGUGGAAAGUGCGAGUGCGGAAGCUCCGGACGCGAGGGGCGGGGCGUGCGCGGGACAAAGGGAAGCGAAGCCGGAGCUGCGGGCGCUUUUUCUGCCCGCGGGUGAGUGUUUCCAAGUGGGCCGGACCGGGUCGGUGGGGGCAAGUCGUGGUGUCACCGCUUGGCUGGACCCCGAGUUCUCUGGGGUUGCUGGGGUUCAGGCUUGGCUGUGGGGCCAGAGCUGGGAGCCGGUUGCGGCCUCCUUGAGGCCUAGCAGAGAGAAGGUUGGGAGGGAGUCCCAUCUGGGGCCCCCUCCUUGGAGGCAAGGCCAGUCCCCUGAAAUUGGUCAAAGCACCUGUGCAUACCGCGUUUUAGGGGAGUUGCUAGUCAAGUACGUUCACCAAGACAAACUUAAAGAGAGCGACCUCAGGAAGCCCGCGGUCAAGACAAAUCCGUGGUUCUCACCCCCAGGAAGAAGGUUCCCCCAUUGGUUCAGGCAGCGACCUGAGGACUCACGGUGUGGCUUAGAGUGAUGAACGGAGCUCUGAAAUAGUUUGGCCUGGGUUUGAAACCCAGCUCUGGCACUUGCUGGCUGCGUGUGGCUUCAGACAAGUUAUUUGCACUCUCCGAGACUCCCUUGCUUCAUCUGUAAAAUGGGGAUAGCUGUACAUAUCUCAUAAAGUACUUGUGACUGUUAAGCGAAAUAGUUCAUAAGCCUACCCCGUAUAAAAUAUUCCUUGAACAAAUAUUUAUCGGUUAUUUAUUUUUAUGCCAGGCACCAAGGUUGGAUCCAGCGGUGGACAAAUGUACAAGCCCACUCUUAAAUUUUAUAUUCUAGCAAAGGAGAGCAAUAAUUUUAAAGUAUUAACAAUGAGCUUAUGGCAGUUGUCAGGGUCCCCUGCAGCGAGGCCUACUGGAUGUUGACAGCUCCCUUAAUGUGAACAGAAAGGAAAUCUACACGAGACAAAAGGUUUCUGACUGUUCUUUAAGAGGGAAUGACUCGGGUUGGACCAUUGGGAAAAUAAACUGUUUCUUUCCCCACCA
rnacentral:lncRNA from 13 species